CACGGGGGGAGCAAGCGUUGUUCGGAAUCACUGGGCGUAAAGAGCUCGUAGGCGGUUUGUCGCGUCUGCUGUGAAAACCUAAGGCUCAACCUUGGGCUUGCAGUGGGUACGGGCAGACUAGAGUGCGGUAGGGGUGACUGGAAUUCCUGGUGUAGCGGUGGAAUGCGCAGAUAUCAGGAGGAACACCGAUGGCGAAGGCAGGUCACUGGGCCGCAACUGACGCUGAGGAGCGAAAGCAUGGGGAGCGAACAGG
rnacentral:rRNA from 1 species